rnacentral:rRNA from 1 species
CCUACGGGUGGCAGCAGUGGAGAAUAUUGGGCAAUGGAGGCAACUCUGACCCAGCAACGCCGCGUGAGCGAUGAAGGUCUUCGGAUUGGAAAGCUCUUGUGCAGGGGACGAAGUAUGACGGUACCCUGUAAGAAAGCCCCGACAAACUACGUGCCAGCAGCCGCGGUAAUACGUAGGGGGCUAGCGUUGUCCGGAAUUACUGGGCGUAAAGGGAGUGUAGACGGCUUGUCAAGUUAAGUGUGAAAGCCUGCGGCUUAACCGCAGAAUUGCACUUAAAAAUGACUGGCUAGAGUGCAGGAGAGGUGAGUGGAAGUCCUGGUGUAGCAGUGGAAUGCGUAGAUAUUGGGAGGAACACCAGAGGCGAAGGCGGCUCACUGGACUGUAACUGACGUUGAGGCUCGAAAGCGUGGGGAGCGAACAGGAUUAGAUACCCUAGUAGUC